GUACACUCCUGCGGGAGGCAGCAGUGGGGAAUAUUGGACAAUGGGCGAAAGCCUGAUCCAGCAAUGCCGCGUGCAGGAUGAAGGCCUUCGGGUUGUAAACUGCUUUUGUACGGAACGAAAAAGCUCCUUCUAAUACAGGGGGCCCAUGACGGUACCGUAAGAAUAAGCACCGGCUAACUACGUGCCAGCAGCCGCGGUAAUACGUAGGGUGCGAGCGUUAAUCGGAAUUACUGGGCGUAAAGCGUGCGCAGGCGGUUAUGUAAGACAGAUGUGAAAUCCCCGGGCUCAACCUGGGAACUGCAUUUGUGACUGCAUGGCUAGAGUACGGUAGAGGGGGAUGGAAUUCCGCGUGUAGUAGUGAAAUGCGUAGAUAUGCGGAGGAACACCGAUGGCGAAGGCAAUCCCCUGGACCUGUACUGACGCUCAUGCACGAAAGCGUGGGGAGCAAACAGGAGUAGAAACCCCGGUAGUCCCAUG
rnacentral:rRNA from 1 species